AGAGAGUGUGCGAAAUGAGGAGAG
rnacentral:miRNA from 1 species